CCCUUAGAUGUCCUGGGCUGCACGCGCGCUACACUGGAAGUUACGGAUUGAGAUACUACCUUGUCCGAAAUGGUCCGGGUAAUCACCUAAAAGCUUGUCAUAAUUGGAAUGGAUUAUUGUAACUAGUAAUCCUGAACGAGGAAUUCCUAGUAAGUCCCAGUCAACAGCUGGUACUGAUUACGUCCCUGCCCUUUGUACACACCGCCCGUCGCUACUACUGAUUGGACGUUUAAGCAAGAUUUUUAAACACUGACAGUGUGUAGUUCACGCUAUACCACAGUGAGAAGAAGAAGAUCGAGCUUACUUGUCUAGAGGAAGUAAAAGUCGUAACA
rnacentral:rRNA from 1 species